GAAUCUGGGAGGACCAUCUCCUAAGGCUAAAUACUCUCUAGUGACCGAUAGUGAACCAGUACCGUGAGGGAAAGGUGAAAAGCACCCCGGAAGGGGAGUGAAAUAGAACCUGAAACCGUGUGCUUACAAGUAGUCAGAGCCCGUUAAUGGGUGAUGGCGUGCCUUUUGUAGAAUGAACCGGCGAGUUACGAUUUGAUGCAAGGUUAAGCAGUAAAUGUGGAGCCGUAGCGAAAGCGAGUCUGAAUAGGGCGUUUAGUAUUUGGUCGUAGACCCGAAACCAGGUGAUCUACCCUUGGUCAGGUUGAAGUUCAGGUAACACUGAAUGGAGGACCGAACCGACUUACGUUGAAAAGUGAGCGGAUGAACUGAGGGUAGCGGAGAAAUUCCAAUCGAACCUGGAGAUAGCUGGUUCUCUCCGAAAUAGCUUUAGGGCUAGCCUCAAGUGAUGAUUAUUGGAGGUAGAGCACUGUUUGGACGAGGGGCCCCUCUCGGGUUACCGAAUUCAGACAAACUCCGAAUGCCAAUUAAUUUAACUUGGGAGUCAGAACAUGGGUGAUAAGGUCCGUGUUCGAAAGGGAAACAGCCCAGACCACCAGCUAAGGUCCCAAAAUAUAUGUUAAGUGGAAAAGGAUGUGGCGUUGCCCAGACAACUAGGAUGUUGGCUUAGAAGCAGCCAUCAUUUAAAGAGUGCGUAAUAGCUCACUAGUCGAGUGACACUGCGCCGAAAAUGUACCGGGGCUAAACAUAUUACCGAAGCUGUGGAUUGUCCUUUGGACAAUGGUAGGAGAGCGUUCUAAGGGCGUUGAAGCAUGAUCGUAAGGACAUGUGGAGCGCUUAGAAGUGAGAAUGCCGGUGUGAGUAGCGAAAGACGGGUGAGAAUCCCGUCCACCGAUUGACUAAGGUUUCCAGAGGAAGGCUCGUCCGCUCUGGGUUAGUCGGGUCCUAAGCUGAGGCCGACAGGCGUAGGCGAUGGAUAACAGGUUGAUAUUCCUGUACCACCUAUA
rnacentral:rRNA from 1 species